rnacentral:rRNA from 1 species
GGACCCGCACAAGUAGUGGAGCAUGUGGUUUAAUUCGAAGAUACGCGCAGAACCUUACCAACACUUGACAUGUUCGUCGCGACUCUAAGAGAUUAAAGUUUUCGGUUCGGCCGGACGAAACACAGGUGCUGCAUGGCUGUCGUCAGCUCGUGUCGUGAGAUGUUGGGUUAAGUCCCGCAACGAGCGCAACCCUCACUUUUAGUUGCCAUCAUUAAGUUGGGCACUCUGAAAGAACUGCCAGUGAUAAGCUGGAGGAAGGUGGGGAUGACGUCAAGUCCUCAUGGCCCUUACGUGUUGGGCUACACACGUGCUACAAUGGUAUCUACAACAGGAAGCAAGACGGCGACGUUAAGCAAAUCCUUAAAAGAUACCUCAGUUCGGAUUGCACUCUGCAACUCGCCUACGUGAAGGAGGAAUCGCUAGUAAUCG